ensembl:lncRNA
GCCAAACACCGAUUUUUGUUUACUUUAUUAUGGCUAGCCCGUCUGGUCCGAUCCCACAGAAGAGCUACCGUAGCAGUGUGACGCUCUGGCAGGAUGAUGCGCCCUGACACACUGCAAACAUUGUUCAGGAACGGUCUGAGGAACAUGACGAAGAGUUCAAGGUGUUGACUCCGAUCUCAGUCCGAUCAGGCCUCUGUGGGACGAGUCCGAUCCAUGGAGGCCCCACCUCACAACCUACGGGACUAGUUGUACAGGAUCUGCUGCUAACGUCUCUAUGCCAGAUACCACAGCACACCUUCAGAGGUCUUGUGGAGUCCGUGCCUCGACGGGUCACAGCUAUUUUGGUGGCACAAGGUGGACGUACACAAUAUUAGGCUUCCUCAUCUCGAAAGGGAAAACCGAGACAUUUUCACCCUGAAGGGGUUUUCCCUGUAUAGCGAUGGACAGAAACAGGUGGGAUCCGGCUUUUAAUUUAAGCCCGGACUUCACCGUACGGGACACGGCAGCAUCAGCAGGGACAAGAUGGCACGGACAGAAAGUCCCACCGCUGACAUGUGAUCUCCCGCCGGUGUUCUCCACAGUGAAACCGUCCCUCGUCUGUAUCUCUACACUCUCGUCACCGUCCGGAACGUACCGCGUGACGCCGAAGAGCGUGGGCCGAUUUCUCGCCGGUUUCUUUACUUGGCGAUAAAAGAAACCGCAUCGGUCGUAUUUCUUUCGUCAAAACACACAGGCAGAGUGAAACUCGCUGCGUCAGAAACCCCAAACCUCAUUUCCUGCCACAGGAAGUUCACGACUAAUUAUACUGCAGUGUGAACGCACAGAGGCG